GUAGGGUUGAAGAAAUCUAAAUCCACUUAUCUAUAAAAAUGACUUUGAGAAAAAUGUUACAAUGUGACUCCACCUUUCAUGAUAAAAAGUUCCUCUCCUCUAACCAAUUUGCACUUUGCAAAGAAGAGCUGAAGCCUAGAUAGAAGCAAUUUUUUGUUCUCUUUAAGCAACCACUUUUAUCCAUUAGUUACUUCUCUAUCACUUCUAAGUUCCUGAGCUGGUCACAUUGUUAGCACAUACCAAACAGGGCCAGAAUAAUCUAGAUUCAUUCCAAAAAUGAAGUUUGGCAAGGAAUUCACGGCACAAAUGGUACCCGAAUGGCAAGAAGCUUACAUGGAUUAUGGCAACCUGAAAUCCCUUUUGAAACAAAUCCUUCAUCACAGGCAGAGAAAGAAGCCACAUUCAAGUGCCACCCCAACAGGUCUAAAGCGAAAGUUAUCACUUCACAGAGCUUUCAGUGGCCUCACACAGAGGCACUACCAACCCUUGAGCCCUUCUGAGCAGGACAUUGAGAACCAACCCAUUUUGGUGCACUCGGUGCUGCGAGAUGGCCAUGAAAAAUACGAGACCACUUUUCUCAUGGCCGCAGAAGAAGAUGGAGAGUACGAGUUGGUGUACUUUAGGAGGCUCGAUGAUGAGUUCAACAAAGUGGACAAGUUCUACAGGUCCAAAGUUGAAGAGGUGAUGAAGGAAGCGGUUGAGUUGAACAAACAAAUGGAUGCUUUGGUGGCUUUCAGGGUGAAAGUUGAGAUUCCAAGUGAGGCUUUUGAUAGCUCAGUUGAGAUGACUCGUCUGGCUUCUGAUGUGUCUGUUUCGACCGCAGCAUUGCAUGCUUCUACACCCAGAGGGGUCCAUUUGAACCGAAGAGUUUCCACGGUAAUUGAAGGUAUCAAAGAGGAAGGAAGUACCCACCAUGGACAAUUAGAGGAAUCUGGCGAUGACAUAGGUGAAGAGAUUCAAACUACCAACAAAAGAGUUGAAGUGCAGAGCACAAAGAAGAAUAUCAAACCCAUCAAGUCCAUCAAACCUGCUUCUGUGGAAAUACUUAAUCGAGUGCAACUAAAUAACACUUAUGAGACUCCUCGUUCAACUAUAGGAGGCUUCAUCAACUACCCUGGCCAAAAAGAGUUAAAUUUCACCAAGGAAAAUUUGAGCAAAGUUGAAGAAACACUCAAACUGGCUUUUAUUGAGUUCUAUCACAAGCUUCGACUUCUAAAGAACUACAACUUUCUAAACGUAUUGGCAUUUUCAAAGAUAAUGAAAAAAUAUGACAAGAUUACAUCAAGAGGUGCAGCAAAAGCCUACAUGAAAAUGGUUGAUAAGUCCUACCUUGGGAGCUCCGAUGAGGUAACCAAGCUUAUGGAGAGGGUGGAGAAAGUAUUCAUUAAGCACUUUUCCAACUCAAAUCGAAAUAAAGGAAUGAGCAUCCUGCGACCAAAACCAAAGAGAGAAAGGCAUAGGAUUACAUUUUCUAUGGGUUUUUCUGCUGGAUGCACUGCUGCUCUAACAUUGGCCCUUAUUCUAAUUGUCCGUACCCGUAAAAUCAUGGAUCAUUCAGGAAGUACCCAAUACAUGGAAAUCAUGUUUCCUCUUUACAGUUUAUUUGGAUUUGUAGUUUUACACAUGCUGAUGUAUGCUGCUAAUAUAUACUUCUGGAGGCGAUACAGAGUGAAUUACUCAUUCAUAUUUGGUUUUAAGCAAGGCACUGACUUAGGCUAUCAUCAAGUCCUGCUCCUUAGUUUUCUCCUGGCAGCAUUGGCACUAGCCAGCGUGCUUGCAAAUCUUGACAUGCAAAUAGAUCCAGAGACAAAAGAUUACAAAACAUUCACUGAACUUUUGCCACUUCUCCUGGUUAUAAUUGUGAUUGCCAUUUUAUUAUGCCCAUUAAACAUUGUAUAUCGAUCAAGCCGAAUAUUCUUCCUCACAUGUCUGCUUCACUGCAUCUGUGCUCCUCUUUACAAGGUCUCACUGCCAGAUUUCUUCAUGGCCGAUCAAUUUACCAGCCAGGGUCAAGCCUUGAGAAGUUUUGAGUUCUAUAUAUGCUACUACGGCUGGGGUGACUUCAAACACAGAGAAAGUACUUGCAAGUCAAGCAGGAUAUUCAUAGCCUUUUCAUUCAUUGUUGUUGUGAUUCCAUACUGGUGUCGCUUUCUUCAGUGCCUAAGGCGUCUGUUUGAGGAGAAAGAUAAAAUGCAAGGAUAUAACGGGUUGAAAUAUUUCCUCACUAUUGCAGCUGUUUGCCUAAGAACAGCUUAUACUCUUGAUAAAGGAACGGGUUGGGAAGUCCUGGCCUGGAUUUUCUCAGUAUCUACAGCCAUUUUUUCCACAUAUUGGGACCUUGUCAUUGAUUGGGGUCUCCUCCAAAAACAAUCCAAGAACCGCUGGCUGAGAGACAAACUCCUAAUCCCUCAGAAAAGUGUAUAUUUCGCAGCUAUGGUGCUGAACGUGUUGUUAAGGUUUGCAUGGUUACAGACAAUAUUGAAUUUAAAUUUCUCGUUCUUGCAUAGAGAAGCCAUGAUCAGCAUCAUUGCCAGCUUAGAGAUCAUUCGCCGUGGCAUGUGGAACUUCUUCAGGGUGGAGAAUGAGCAUCUGAACAACGUGGGCAAGUACCGUGCGUUCAAGUCCGUGCCAUUGCCCUUCAACUACGAGGAAGGCGAAGAAGACAAGGACGAGUGAUGGGUGAAACUAUGAUCUCUCUCUCCAUCACCAUGACCAUGACCAUGACCAUGACCAUGACCAUGACCAUGACCAUCACAUUUCGACGUGUAUGAAACUUUAGCUCUACAAGUUAAGGAACUCAGAGAGUUAAGUUGCUUUGAGGAUCGUAAUAGCCGUGCAAUGUGAUGUAUUCAUUAUAUGAUCACUCUUGAUGAGCAUUACUUACCUCUACCCUCUUCCAAGUGAGAAUUUCUAUUGUAAUACUGGUAUGUCUUAACAGUUUCAAUUGUUAGCUUUUAUAAGGAAAACUUUGUUAAUCAUUGUGGAAUGCCAUCAUUUCAUGUGCAGCUGGCCCUUUGGAAGUGGAUUAAUGUAUGUUAAUCAUUUUGGAAUGCCCUCAAUUUAACUUUUAUCAGUAUGUUUAUUGCUCAUCUACAAAUUAGGUUCUGGUAUGAUUUUCUGUAGCAUAUAUGGAAUUUGUAGGUGACUCUGAACUCAUAAAGGUGUUUGGGAAAACAACAAAUUUGGUAAACAAUUAAUUAGUUAAUUAUCAAUGUGAUCUACUUCUAUACCAUUUUACUACUAUACUACGAAUGUACUAGAAAAAUUGAGGUGUCUUUUGGACAGGUUCGUGGGAAUGAAUCAUUCUACUUUAAUUUCUUUUGCUACUUUAAUUUCUUUUGCCACUAAGACACUUAAUGCUAGCCAAAUUAUAUUCAA